rnacentral:misc_RNA from 1 species
AAGAAGUGUUGUUCUUAUUGGGAUUAGUGGCAAAAAAAGUGAUUAGAGGAGGUAAUGCAAUUGCUGAUGGUCCAGUUGAUGAUGCAAAAGUUAUGACAUUAAUGGAAGCUCUAAGUGAAGGAGGAUUUGGUCAUUUGGAAGAGACAAAUCCAAGGGAAGGUGUUGUAGGAGAAGAAUCUUGCUUUUCAUUUUCGAUGACUCAUGAGGAGUAUGCCAAAAUGUUUGGCCCCACUACUGGAGACAGAAUACGUCUGGGGGACACUGACCUGUUUGCUGAAAUUGAGAAAGACUAUGGUAUCUUUGGUGAUGAGUGCGUGUUUGGGGGUGGAAAAGUUCUAAGAGAUGGAAUGGGUCAGGCAUGUGGAUAUGCUCCAGCAGAUUGUUUGGAUACUGUUAUAACAAAUGCUGUAGUGAUUGACUAUACAGGAAUUUUCAAGUGUGAUAUUGGAAUUAAAGAUGGUCAUAUUGUUUCCCUUUGUAAGGCAGGUAACCCAGAUGUGAUGGAUAGUAAUGCGAUAAUUGGGGUUAACACUGAGGUUAUUGCAGGUGAAGGAAUGAUUGUAACAGCAGGAGCUAUAGAUUGUCAUGUGCACUUUAUAUGCCCUCAACUGGCAUACGAGGCAAUAUCAAGUGGAAUCACUACAAUGGUGGGAGGUGGU